AAACGCUGGCGGCGUGUCUUAAGCAUGCAAGUCGAGCGGCAGGCGCAGCAAUGCGCUGAGAGCGGCGGACUGGUGAGUAACGCGUGGGUAAUCUACCUUAGGCAUGGGGAUAGCCACUAGAAAUAGUGGGUAAUACCGAAUACGUUCCCUUAGGGAAGCGCUGAGGGAAGAAAGGGUGCUACGGCACCGGCCUGAGAUGAGCUCGCGUCCCAUUAGCUUGUUGGUGAGGUAACGGCCCACCAAGGCGAUGAUGGGUAGCCGGCCUGAGAGGGUGUACGGCCACACUGGGACUGAGAUACGGCCCAGACUCCUACGGGAGGCAGCAGCUAAGAAUAUUCCGCAAUGGACGAAAGUCUGACGGAGCGACGCCGCGUGGAUGAUGAAGGCCGAAAGGUUGUAAAGUCCUUUUGCUGGGGAAGAAUAAGUGUGGGAGGGAAUGCCCGCAUGAUGACAUGAACCGGCGAAUAAGCCCCGGCCAACUACGUGCCAGCAGCCGCGGUAACACGUAGGGGGCGAGCGUUGUUCGGAAUUACUGGGCGUAAAGGGCAUGUAGGCGGUCUGGUAAGCCUGGCGUGAAAGGCCACAGCUCAACUGUGGGAUUGCGUUGGGAACUGCUGGGCUUGAGUUACGGAGAGGGAGCUAG
rnacentral:rRNA from 1 species